rnacentral:rRNA from 1 species
CGGGUGAGUAAUGUAUGGGGAUCUGCCUGAUGGCGGGGGAUAACUACUGGAAACGGUAGCUAAUACCGCAUAAUGUCUACGGACCAAAGCGGGGGACCUCCGGGCCUCGCGCCAUCAGAUGAACCCAUAUGGGAUUAGCUAGUAGGUGAGGUAACGGCUUACCUAGGCGACGAUCCCUAGCUGGUCUGAGAGAAUGAUCAGCCACACUGGGACUGAGACACGGCCCAG